rnacentral:tRNA from 1 species
GGCGCUAUCGUCUAGUGGUCCAGGACGCUUGGUUCUCAUCCAAGAAAUCGCGGGUUCGAGUCCCGCUAGCGCUACCA